UACGGAGGGAGCUAGCGUUGUUCGGAAUUACUGGGCGUAAAGCGCACGUAGGCGGACAUUUAAGUCAGGGGUGAAAUCCCGGGGCUCAACCCCGGAACGGCCUUUGAUACUGGGGUGUCUUGAGUUCGGAAGAGGUGAGUGGAAUUGCGAGUGUAGAGGUGAAAUUCGUAGAUAUUCGCAGGAACACCAGUGGCGAAGGCGGCUCACUGGUCCGAUACUGACGCUGAGGUGCGAAAGCGUGGGGAGCAAACAGG
rnacentral:rRNA from 1 species